CAACUGUGGUCUUAUUUGGAUCCACUACAUGUGAAAGACAGAAAAGUUUCUGAGACUUCAAGAGUGGAAAUACUUAUAUUUUUCAACGCUUGUAUUCAUUUUGGAAAUUCUCUGAGACUCUUAUGGAUUAACCUUUGGUUGAUGUCGAGAUAACAGCUGUGUCCGAAUGUCAAUGACUUGAACAUCUCAUCAGUCGCUGGACCACAGAGGUACAGGAAGAAGUUGUAAAAUCAGGAGCUGGACAUCACAAGCGCUAGCUGCUCUGCGGCGGCUCCUGUAGCUGGGCGGCAGGCAGGUUGGAAGACGCCACAGUCCAGGUGGCGGUCUGCGAUGACAGACCAGGCAAAGAGGCAGCCAAAACCACCACGGUGUCGUCCACGGAUACUUCUUCUACAGUCACACCACCCCCCACCUCACUCCUCCUUCCCCGCCCUGUCUUGCGUGUGCAGUCCACGCAGAUGUAGUCCUCAUUCUCCGCCAUCUCCGAGGUCACGCCUACACACACCUGGUGGAACCACUCAUCGCAGCCACCGUCACACUGCACCCAGUCCACCUGCAUGCACAAAGAUACAUCACAGUGAGACGACACACACAAGCAGUUAAACAAUUAAGAAUCAUUCGGUAUGUAAACACAGCGAUACUCUCAUUGCUUGCAUACACGUGUACGAACCCCACAUAAUCAUACAUGAGAUCGAUCACGUCAAUCAGCGCACACAAACACAAAAAUCACACACACAAAAUAGCCUUGACUAGACACGGCGCACUCAACCAAACACAAAAACAGUCAAUUUCACACUGUCAUCCAAAAAGAAAAAAACCCACACAACUCAUGUACUUAUAACACAAUUGAAAACACAAUCAGAACAAAAACUGAAAACAAACGGCACCAAAAAUGAUGAGACAAUUUUUAAGUCACGUAAAAUCACACCAUUACUCACAGACGGGCAAGAACACAAUCAUACGCGCGCGUGUGCCCACACGUGACGUUAUUACUCAGUCAAACACACUUGACGGGAAUAACAUCCGAGUUACAUUGUAACUGGAGGAGGCCAGUCACUGAUCCACUGGGAUAUUGUCCCAUGACACGGAGGGACAGCAACAUCUGGAUGUUCUACUAAAAUAUUCAGGCGCCACAUUAGCCACACAAACGAAUCAGAGCUUUGCUUCGCCCCAGACUCCUGAUGCUUCUCCCCAUGGACGAGCCUACACAGCCCGACUCAGUGAUUGGCGCGUGGCUAGCUAACUUGGUGGGCCGUUCCGAGAAUCAGAGUUAAUACAUGAUGUGUAAGUCUCCUUAAAGUGUUCCAGUGCUGCAGCGCCACACGCUCUCAUUAACUCGGUCACUGUUUGAAAUUUACACUCCAACACUUGUUCGGCUGCUCGCCUCUUUGUUUGUACAUUAUUCACCCCAGGUGUUGGGCCUGUCGGGUGAAUAAAAAUGAACACAUUGGGAAAUUUGCACAUUUAAUAUUCUGAACUGCUCUUCCCCUUAUAUUUUUACAUUUUGUGUGCUGUUACAUUUAUUAAUCUUACAUUACCAUUUACAUUACUUAAUAGUUCCUUCUCAUUUUAGAUCUUUUUAAUAAUUAAUAACAAUCCAUUUUUAUGUUUUAGCCAAUAUUACUAUUGCCCUAUUUUUAAAGAUUCUUACAUUUUGAGUUGAUAUUUACAUCAAAUUUAACAUUUUUUCAAUCAAGAAUUGUUUUUCAUCUUUUCCUGAGCAUUUUUUUUUUCUCACCGACGCAGACCAAACAUCAUCUUUAGUUUAUAUAAUACUUAUACUAAUAAAUAACUCUUCUCAGCACUUUUUAAUGUAAUUUGUAUUCCUUGGGUUUAUUUUCUAUUCAUUCAGAAUUUAAGAAUUAUUUUUUUUGUCCAUUAAUUGUUUUUAAUGAAUCAACUCGUUUUCAUUAUUUAUCUAGAAUUCUUCAUAGCAUUGACAAUUUAUGUUUUAUUCAUUUAUUUACUCUGGCAUGGACACGAGGAUGGACACAUGCUGAACCUUGUUAAAGCCUUAGAGACCCGUCAAUCAUCUAUCACAGGAAAUUGAGAGGCCAGCACUUAUUUUGGCGAGGUCCCAGCAAUACUUCCUCACCUUGUCUUUGCAUGGCCUCUGGCAGUUCUUGGCAGCGCACACAGCAUUUUCGUCGUUGGAGUCCUCUGCACCCGACCAGUCGUAUUUGGACGGGAUGUCCAAGAUCUUCUUCUCCUUCCUCUUGUCCAGUCCCUCUCGCGAGCCGUCUGCUUUAGCCGCCGCCUUCUCCUUCCUCUUCCGCUCCUUCUCCUCCUUGGCCAGGCGCUUGGCCAACUGCUUCAUCUCGCGGUUCUUGUCCAGAUUGAGUUUGAGCUUCUUCUUCUUGCUCUUGCUAAGCCCCAGUUCCAGGCCCACCCGCUUCAGGUCUCUGGACUUGGCCGAGCGCACAUCCCCUAUGACGAUGGUGCCUGCAGCAGACGCAGCAGUGGCCAGCAUCAUGUGGUGAUGGUGCUCAGCUCGCUCCAGCUUACGACGCCGUCUCUUCUCAGAGUCUUUGAGUUUGAUCUUGAUAGGUUUGUCCAUCAGAGAGUCUUCAGGCUGUCGCACACAAACAUCAACACGUGAGUCAUCAACACUCUGCAGGGUUAGCUAUGGAAGUGGAUGACCAAAAGUCAUAUUUGGAGACUUUGCUUUGAAAAAUGUUGUCUGACCAUAAAACCAUACUACUAAAAAAAGCCAUCCAAACCAAAUUAUACACACACACUCGCCCAAUCACAUAAUUAUAUACAGAAAAAAUACAUACUCACAGUUGUGUAUUAAUAAGCACACACCCCUUGUGAAACCUAAACCUUGGGCCAAAAAUGACUCACAAGUAUGGCAGAACAUCCCCAUACACAUGGAUUGACAAAAUUAGCUUUAACAGAACAACCGAGACACAAACGCAAGAGCGACAUGGCAGGUCACAGGAGAGUUUUGGAAACAGCAGCGGCACCGGGACUCACCUCCAGAACCUGCAGGAAGCGCUCCUCGGACGGUGGGUGAGUGGCCUGCAGGAUCCUCCAGAUGUGCUGCGUCUCAUCCAGCGACACCUCCAGUAGGUCUCCCAGCAUCAUCAGCUCUUCCAGUUGCGCUUUGGCUGGCGGCGACAACUGCAGAACAGGGGGUUCCAGGCUGCGGGGGACCAGAGGGGUCUUCCUAGGCUGCUUCCUCGGUGUGCUCACGGCUGGAACAUGAACAGUAUUUCAAGAAUUAUUUUGGACGCACGCUUUUCGAUCUUCAAAGAUGAAGUAACUCACUCUGCACACAGGACUUGGAAGCGGAGGAGUAGGCGUGUUCUGCGCAGAACGAGGGUGUGGCAGACGGCCACAUGUGACUGACGACUUCCUCAGAUUUGACAGGGAUCUCUUCAUCACAGAAAAGACUCCGAUGUCCAGGCGAGGACUGAGGACCUGAAGCACCACUAAGCGUUACUCACCGGUCGUCAGAAAUGGGAGCAAUGAGAACCGACCUGCAGCAACGAGUAGGUGGAGUUCUUCUUUAGGAAGGUCCGGGCAGUACGCUCCCGCCAACCCUGAGCAGCUGUGACCUGAGACUCCACCUGGGCCAGUGGAUCCAAUCGGACUGGGAUGGAGCGCCCACGGACCAGCAGGCUUUCCAGCUGCUCCAGGUACGCAUAGCUGCCACCACUCUGCAGAAGUCACACAGGCAGUUGAAAUAAAAUAAAGCAAAAUCAUAGCAUGUAAUCAAAGCCCAGAAGGAUAUAUAGGAUGUAAAAAGAUGCAACUCAAAAGGAGAGGAAAUCACAUCAUCACAGUUGAUACCUGGAUGGCCUCCACUUUAGAGGUCCACUCCUUAGCUUUCUGCAGAGCAUCUCUGAGAGCCAAGACAUUUGGGAGGUAAGCUGGUAUGUUCUGGGCCUCAAGUACAAUGCUCUCCAGAGUGACCAUGCUGUGGCGGGGCCUGCGGAAGAAAGUUCAGAGGAAUGAGUUUUAUGUUUAGGUAAGAACCAUCACAAAGUAGAAUGUUCCCUACCGGGCCUGCAGACAGGCUCGAGCUUUGUCCUCCCAUCUCUCAGAGACAGUGAGGACCUCCUGCAGCUCCGCCAUGGCCUUCUCUACGGCAUGGUGCGGUGCCAGGCCCACCCCGGAGUCUAUCAGCCUCUUCAUCAACUCCAGGGUGACUCUGUGCGGCUCAGUCAGAGUUACGCGCACCUACAAACACAACCUAUUAAAAACGAGUCACGACGACUGAUGCAUUGGAGAUGGGCGAAUACUGACCUCAUCCAGCCAGCGGGCCUGCUGCAGUUCCUGCUUGAGUCGUGGUAGCUCAGGCAGCUCCACAUCUAGACCGCUGCCAAGGUCCAGCAGAGCCUGCAGCUUGGAGGAGUCGGGAGUCUCAUCAGCCAGAGCGAUCUGGGCUCGCUCAUGGAAGUCCUCCACGUUCUCCAGCAGCUCCUGGAGACCACAGGAUCAUCAGCUUUCUCAUGUAGCACUGACUUAUGAAAUCUUGCAUACGACAAAACAAGAUCUCAUGUAAACAUCCCAGGAAAGUGAACAGGAAAAAAAUCAUUAAUCUUCUCCAUUGUAUUUAAUUGCACAAGUAAAACACUUCAUGAAAAUGAGUCACACCCCAGCUUCUGAGACCACUCCUAUUACCCCUUUAUUGACAUGGCUGCUGUGAAUCUAGUGAACAUACUCAAUAGGAAGUGGUUCUCCCUGACUCCUCUAACCUAACCAGAUGCACCAGAAACAAGCUCAGACUUCUCAGUCCAAGUGCUUUGAACCUGGGAGCUAGGUAAAUGCUGCUAAGAUUGCUUUCUGGAACAGGACUCACUUUGACAUGCCGGGCCUGGCUGAUAACACACGGAAGCCUGUACAGCUGCUCCACGAAGGCCUUGAGCUCAUCCACCGUCAGUUUGGUGCGAGUGCAGCUGCUUUCCGAACGUAGGCGGCUGCUGUGAACACAUAGCGGCGCACAUUAGCUUCACUGUCUCAGUUAACCAGACGGUUGAACCAUCACUGCUGACCUGUGUCUCUGCUUCCGACUUAGCAGGAGCUGAGCCACGGACGAGCAUGUCUCCGCCUCUUUCACCAACUCCCUAAGUCGACGGAACAGAGAGUUCUCCGGAUACUUGCGGUCCUCCGCGUCCUCCAGUAGGACCUUAAGCUCAAUUAGAUCUGAAAAAAGAAAAGGGCUGCUAAGUGACAUGUUUGAGCAGAAAGCUGUGCCAGCAAACGCAUGAGAACAACCUUUCUUGUUCUUCUGGUCCGCAGACAAAGCCUCUGUGACCCGCUUGGACCAGGUGUCGUAGGACUGAGCUCGGGUCUUUACACCAAACAGCAUAGACGGGAACUCGUCCAAGUCGUAGCGAUACCUGAAGGUUAAAAAUCAUUUAAAAAAUAAAAAGGAAGGAUGGUGGCUCACCGCCUAAAUGGGGGCCGCCAUGGUGUUUCUUCAUUUCUCUUUCUGUUUUUAUAGCUACAUUUUAUUGCCAAGUUCAACCUUUGGUGGACUUUAUUCCACUUUGACUCCAAGUGCAAUGAGUUUGUGUGUGUUCAAUUGCAAGCCAGUGAAUUAAAUUAAAAUAGUUUUCUUUAAAUCAGAUUGACAUAAAAGACUGAACUAACCAACAAAAUCAACUGUGUUGAUCACCAAUGUGAUUAACACUUGAAAAGUGUUAAAAGAUGUGUGGCUCAGAGUAAUAAAACAAACCCUGAAUAAUUGUCCUUAACAUCUCAUAUCAACAUUAAAAACAGUUUUCAUACCAUAAUCUUGAAUCAAAGUCUCCCACAUCACCUGUCUCUUUUCUUCCGCACUCAUUUUUGUUUUAGAUUCAUGCAAGUAUGAAACACCUAUAUACACAUACACACACAAAUAGAGGUCUUCUAAGAAGAUGAUGGAGCAGUGUCUGCAGGUUAAGUAAACUGAAGUCAUUACCUGAGACACUUAUUGCCGAGUGGACAUUCGCACAGAUCAGCAGCAUGGUGCAGACACACCAGCCGGUCAGGACUACAGGGACACGUCAGUGCAGAGAGGAAGCAGGUGGUCUUGCACUUGUAGCACUGUCUCUCAUCAUCUGGAAGCAGCUCGAACACCUCCUGCUCUGAGGACAGCACCCCCUGCAGAGCACAAUCAUCACUAGUCAUGUCAAGACUGCACCUUGAUUUUACACCUUAACUCUAACCAUUUCCUGCACUGCCUGUCGCAGCUGCGUUUCUUCCUCCAUCAUGUCGCCCAUUUCCUUGAACACAGCUGCUGCCAACUCCACGUCCAGGGUCUCAGGGUCGGCGGCCAUCUUGCACAGCAGCUCCUCAUGAGAGAAGACGCAGUAACGGUGCAGCCGGCGGUAGUGGGCCACGCACUGACGACCCAUUGGCAGCUGAGGAGGAGGGGGCAGCACAGUAACAUGUUAGUCAGCUGUGCAGAAGUUGACCGCUUCAGCAAAGUUGUAUCCCUGGUUGAAGCCGCUGUGAUACGCUCGGGGGAAGGUGACCACAAACUCUCCGGCACACUGGAUGAACUCCACAAGGAUACAUACUGGGACACCAUGCUCCAUUAGCACGUUGGGAUUCAUGAUAGUGACCAACUGAUGGAGAAGAUCCGGCUGAGAGUCAAAGAGUUCUGGAGCCAGCUCCUUCAUUACAGCUUCCAGCUGCUCAGCCGCGGAGGCCGGGACACCAUACCAUGUCUUUGGCUCGCCCCUGUACAUAAAGAAACACUGCAGUCAUCUAUAGUGCAGGAAGUUGAUGGAGUAACUCCAGUGGUCCUCAAUGUGCCAGCAGAAGGAAGAGAAGCACAUUCCAACAUAGAGCCAUGGAACCUUCAUCCCAGAGAUGUCCACGUUGAUGUGGGUCAGCACAGACUGCUCCAGCACUGGCAUGUUGUUCAGGUUCCAGCCAGAGUUGGCAUAGUCCUGUAGUACCAGAGGAAGACGGGAAUUUUCCCUUUGUGUCAAAAUAUUUUCAUGACCUCACUUUUAAUGUUCAUCCUUCAAAAUAAAAGCUUCACCUCUUCAUCCCCCAGCAGCCUCC